AUUCUAUUUAGCUAUUAAUAUUCCACGGAAGAUCAAAAACGAGAAAUAUGUAUGUAACUUAAAUUCUUCAGUAUAUUCACGGUAUAUUUUUAAAAUGAGAUGGUAUAUUUUGGUAUAUUUCUGAGGCUAUACCAUAUGGCCAAGACAAGGGGUCACACUGUUCGCUUUUGCUCUUCAAAAUGCACCGCCUGUUUGAACCAUUUUUUAGCCGCUUUAAAGAAGAGGAAAUCAUACAUGCAAUUAACCAUGUUCAACGUGAUAGCCAUUGCAAUGAAUUGGACUCCGGAAUGAUAAACACGGUCAGCCAUUUACAAUUUUAUAAUGAUGAUCCAUUUGUCUUAGUCGUAAAUGAGAUGCAUGUCCCUUGGGAAAUCCGGGGCAAUCGGUGGAAAGUGCUAGCCAUUGCAGCCGUAACUUGCAUGCGGAGAGUUUUAAUUUCUUGCACAUGAAAGCCUGGAGGGAUGUCCAAGACGCAUUGCACGAGGGUUUGCAUUGCACGGACUAGGGGAUAUAAACGCGGUUAAUGGGCAUUAUCUAUAACGGAUGCCCCGCCAAAUUAGUGGCAGAAGUGAACGCCGCCAGAGAGUUUCCUGUUUUAUGGAGCUAUACUCACCUGCGCAAAAUUUUGGCGCAGGAUCACGAAAUUAUUGACACGUGCUGGAAGAUACGUACAGCUUAGAGUUCAAUGCCAACGAUUGGCGGGACAAGGUGUAUCCACCGGUGUAUGGAGAUGUAGAAGAUCUCAUCGCCAGGGAGGUACGAGAGGUAAAAUUGUUGGUUGCACGCAUUUGUUCAUACCCAGCGACUUCGUUCACCACCAUCAGCAGGCUGGAGUUGUGGUGCAUAUCUAUCAUCUCUUUGGUGAAAAAAUUCGUGGAGUUUAUGCCGAAGCCAUCAUGGGAGGAAUUUGAGCAAAAUCAACAUCGGUUCAUUGCACGUCUGGUUGGAGUCGCAGAGAUCCUAGUGCGGUCUUCCGAGGGUACGCGAUAAACCAAUCGGUUUAGUAUAAAUCGAUCUCCAAAUCUUUAUUAUCUACAUCACUUUACUAGUUUUAAACUUACCGGUCACGCCCAAAUGUUUCACUGUGGCACUCUUUGUUAGCCUGCCCCCAACUUGAGACAUUUCCUUGCGAGGAUUAUAAAUAUAUGAUUAUAUAUGUA
rnacentral:sRNA from 1 species